GACGAACGCUGGCGGCGUGCUUAACACAUGCAAGUCGAACGGAAAGGCCCUGCUUUUGUGGGGUGCUCGAGUGGCGAACGGGUGAGUAACACGUGAGUAACCUGCCCUUGACUUUGGGAUAACUUCAGGAAACUGGGGCUAAUACCGGAUAGGAGCUCCUGCUGCAUGGUGGGGGUUGGAAAGUUUCGGCGGUUGGGGCUGGACUCGCGGCUUAUCAGCUUGUUGGUGGGGUAGUGGCUUACCAAGGCUUUGACGGGUAGCCGGCCUGAGAGGGUGACCGGCCUCAUUGGGCCUGCGAUACGGCCCAGACUCCUACGGGAGGCAGCAGUGGGGAAUAUUGCACAAUGGGCGGACGCCUGAUGCAGCAACGCCGCGUGCGGGAUGACGGCCUUCGGGUUGUAAACCGCUUUCGCCUGUGACGAAGCGUGAGUGACGGUAAUGGGUAAAGAAGCACCGGCUAACUACGUG
rnacentral:rRNA from 1 species